rnacentral:rRNA from 1 species
GAUGAACGCUGGCGGCGUGCCUAAUACAUGCAAGUCGAGCGAACAGACGAGGAGCUUGCUCCUCUGACGUUAGCGGCGGACGGGUGAGUAACACGUGGAUAACCUACCUAUAAAACUGGGAUAACUUCGGGAAACCGGCGCUAAUACCGGAUAAUAUAUUGAACCGCAUGGUUCAAUAGUGAAAGACGGUUUUGCUGUCACUUAUAGAUGGAUCCGCGCCGCAUUAGCUAGUUGGUAAGGUAACGGCUUACCAAGGCAACGAUGCGUAGCCGACCUGAGAGGGUGAUCGGCCACACUGGAACUGAGACACGGUCCAGACUCCUACGGGAGGCAGCAGUAGGGAAUCUUCCGCAAUGGGCGAAAGCCUGACGGAGCAACGCCGCGUGAGUGAUGAAGGUCUUCGGAUCGUAAAACUCUGUUAUUAGGGAAGAACAAAUGUGUAAGUAACUAUGCACUUCUUGACGGUACCUAAUCAGAAAGCCACGGCUAACUACGUG